UGUUAUUUAAAAAAUAAUUAAAUUUAAUAGAGUAGUAUUAGUUAUAUGCUUAAAACUUAAUAAAUUUGGCGGUAUUUUAAUCUAUUCAGAGGAACUUGUUUUAUAAUUGAUAAUCCUCAUUUUAUCUUACUUAAUUUAAUUAAAUUUGUAUACCGUUGUCAUAAGAAUUUCUUUAAAAAGUAAUAAUUUUCUAAAAUUUUUAUUAAUAAUAAUGUCAAAUCAAGGUGCAGUUUAUAUUUAAGUAAAAAUGAGUUACAAUAAAUUUAUUUAUUUAUGAAUUAAAAAUUGAAAUAUUUUUAUGAAGGAGGAUUUGAUAGUAAAAUAAAAUUAAUAAUUUUAUUUGAUUAUAGUUCUAAAAUAUGUACAAAUCGCCCG
rnacentral:rRNA from 1 species